GUAGGUGAACCUGCGGAAGGAUCAUUAUUGAAUAAACCUGAUGGGUUGUUGCUGGCUUCUAGGAGCAUGUGCACGCUUGUCAUCUUUAUACAUCCACCUGUGCACAUUUUGUAGUCUUUGGAGGUAAUGAGCGUGAAAACUCGCGCGCGUUUCUCUCAAGUCUAUGUCUUUCAUAUACCACAAAGAAUGUCUUAGAAUGUAUAUCAUUGGGCCUCUGUGCCUAUAAAACACAAUACAACUUUCAGCAACGGAUCUCUUGGCUCUC
rnacentral:misc_RNA from 1 species